rnacentral:rRNA from 1 species
AUCAGCUUGUUGGUAAGGUAAUGGCUUACCAAGGCAUACGGGUAGCCGGCCUGAGAGGGUGAACGGCCACACUGGGACUGAGACACUGCCCAGACUCCUACGGGAGGCUGCAGUCGAGGAUCAUUCGCAAUGCGCGAAAGCGUGACGAUGCGACGCUGCGUGGAGGAUGAAGGCCUAGGGUCGUAAACUCCUGUCAUGAGGGAAAAACGGCCAUAGGGUUAAUAGCCCUAAGGUGUGAUGGUACCUCAAGAGGAAGCCACGGCUAACUCUGUGCCAGCAGCCGCGGUAAUACAGAGGUGGCGAGCGUUGUUCGGAUUUACUGGGCGUAAAGGGUGCGUAGGUGGCAAUGUAUGUCGGAUGUGAAAUCUCGAGGCUCAACUUCGAAAUUGCAUCCGAAACUGCAUAGCUUGAGUACAGGAUGGGAGAGCGGAAUUCUUGGUGUAGCGGUGAAAUGCGUUGAUAUCAAGAAGAACACCGGCGGCGAAGGCGGCUCUCUGGAAUGUUACUGACACUGAGGCACGAAAGCUGGGGGAGCAAACAGGAUUAGAUACCCUGGUAGUCCCAGCCGUAAACGGUGCACACUUGGUGUUGGAGGUAUUGACCCCUCCAGUGCCGGAGCUAACGCGUUAAGUAUGCCGCCUGGGGAGUACGGCCGCAAGGCUAAAACUCAAAGAAAUUGACGGGGGCCCGCACAAGCGGAGGAGCAUGUGGCUUAAUUCGAUGCAACGCGAAGAACCUUACCAGGGCUUGACAUGGGGACCCUUCGGGGGUGGGUGCGAAAGUACCCUUUACCAUCACAGGUGCUGCAUGGCUGUCGUCAGUUCGUGCCGUGAGGUGUUGGGUUAAGUCCCGCAACGAACGCAACCCCUGUGGUUAGUUGCCACCGCCGGUGAUAAGCCGGCGAGCACUCUAGCCAGACUGCCCGUGCAAGCGGGAGGAAGGUGGGGACGACGUCAAGUCAGUAUGGCCCUUACGCCCUGGGCUGCACACGUGCUACAAAGGCCGGUACAGAGGGAAGCAAUACCGCGAGGUGGAGCAAAUCCAGAAAACCGGCCCCAGUUCGGAUUGGAGUCUGCAACUCGACUCCAUGAAGUUGGAUUCGCUAGUAACGGCGUAUCAGCUACGACGCCGUGAAUACGUUCCCGGGCCUUGUACACACCGCCCGUCACAUCAUGAAAGCCGUCUGCACCCGAAGUCACUGAUCUAAUCCCCUUGUGGGAAGGAAGGUGCCGAAGGUGUGGGUGGUGAUUA